CAACAAAUCACAUGUGGUUGUUCUCAACAAGAAAAUCAGCCUCUUCCUUCUUUGCUGCCUAUGAUGCCUUAUGUGAGGGAGGUACUGCAACUUCUGUAUGCAGGGCUCUUGAUGAAAUUGCGGACGUAUCUGUACCAGCUUCAAAAGACCAUGUGAAAGCCCAAGGUGAAAUUUUAAAGGGUCUUGUGGCUCGUCUUG